rnacentral:rRNA from 1 species
CCUACGGGAGGCAGCAGUGAGGAAUAUUGGUCAAUGGACGAGAGUCUGAACCAGCCAAGUAGCGUGAAGGAUGACUGCCCUAUGGGUUGUAAACUUCUUUUAUAUGGGAAUAAAAUGUUUCACGUGUGGGAUUUUGUAUGUACCAUAUGAAUAAGGAUCGGCUAACUCCGUGCCAGCAGCCGCGGUAAUACGGAGGAUCCGAGCGUUAUCCGGAUUUAUUGGGUUUAAAGGGAGCGUAGGUGGAUUGUUAAGUCAGUUGUGAAAGUUUGCGGCUCAACCGUAAAAUUGCAGUUGAAACUGGCAGUCUUGAGUACAGUAGAGGUGGGCGGAAUUCGUGGUGUAGCGGUGAAAUGCUUAGAUAUCACGAAGAACUCCGAUUGCGAAGGCAGUUCACUGAACUGCAACUGACACUGAGGCUCGAAAGUGUGGGUAUCAAACAGGAUUAGAUACCCCAGUAGUC